rnacentral:rRNA from 1 species
GACGAACGCUGGCGGCGUGCUUAACACAUGCAAGUCGAACGGAAAGGCCCUGCUUUUGUGGGGUGCUCGAGUGGCGAACGGGUGAGUAACACGUGAGUAACCUGCCCUUGACUUUGGGAUAACUUCAGGAAACUGGGGCUAAUACCGGAUAGGAGCUCCUGCUGCAUGGUGGGGGUUGGAAAGUUUCGGCGGUUGGGGAUGGACUCGCGGCUUAUCAGCUUGUUGGUGGGGUAGUGGCUUACCAAGGCUUUGACGGGUAGCCGGCCUGAGAGGGUGACCGGCCACAUUGGGACUGAGAUACGGCCCAGACUCCUACGGGAGGCAGCAGUGGGGAAUAUUGCACAAUGGGCGGAAGCCUGAUGCAGCAACGCCGCGUGCGGGAUGACGGCCUUCGGGUUGUAAACCGCUUUCGCCUGUGACGAAGCGUGAGUGACGGUAAUGGGUAAAGAAGCACCGGCUAACUACGUGCCAGCAGCCGCGGUGAUACGUAGGGUGCGAGCGUUGUCCGGAUUUAUUGGGCGUAAAGGGCUCGUAGGUGGUUGAUCGCGUCGGAAGUGUAAUCUUGGGGCUUAACCCUGAGCGUGCUUUCGAUACGGGUUGACUUGAGGAAGGUAGGGGAGAAUGGAAUUCCUGGUGGAGCGGUGGAAUGCGCAGAUAUCAGGGGGAACACCAGUGGCGAAGGCGGUUCUCUGGGCCUUUCCUGACGCUGAGGAGCGAAAGCGUGGGGAGCGAACAGGCUUAGAUACCCUGGUAGUCCACGCUGUAAACGGUGGGUACUAGGUGUGGGGUCCAUUCCACGGGUUCCGUGCCGUAGCUAACGCUUUAAGUACCCCGCCUGGGGAGUACGGCCGCAAGGCUAAAACUCAAAGGAAUUGACGGGGCCCCGCACAAGCGGCGGAGCAUGCGGAUUAAUUCGACGCAACGCGUAGAACCUUACCUGGGUUUGACAUGGAUCGGGAGUGCUCAGAGAUGGGUGUGCCUCUUUUGGGGUCGGUUCACAGGUGGUGCAUGCCUGUCGUCAGCUCGUGUCGUGAGAUGUUGGGUUAAGUCCCGCAACGAGCGCAACCCUUGUUCACUGUUGCCAGCACGUUAUGGUGGGGACUCAGUGGAGACCGCCGGGGUCAACUCGGAGGAAGGUGGGGAUGACGUCAAGUCCUCAUGCCCCUUAUGUCCAGGGCUUCACGCAUGCUACAAUGGCUGGUACAGAGAGUGGCGAGCCUGUGAGGGUGAGCGAAUCUCGGAAAGCCGGUCUCAGUUCGGAUUGGGGUCUGCAACUCGACCUCAUGAAGUCGGAGUCGCUAGUAAUAACAGAUCAGCAACGCUGCGGUGAAUACGUUCCCGGG